rnacentral:rRNA from 1 species
AACGAACGCUGGCGGCAGGCUUAACACAUGCAAGUCGAACGCUCGUAGCAAUACGGGAGUGGCAGACGGGUGAGUAACGCGUGGGAACACACCCUCCGGUUCGGAAUAACUCAGGGAAACUUGAGCUAAUACCGGAUACGGCUGAGAGGCGAAAGAUUUAUCGCCGGAGGAUUGGCCCGCGUUCGAUUAGCUUGUUGGUGAGGUAACGGCUCACCGAGGCGACGAUCGAUAGCUGGUCUGAGAGGAUGAUCAGCCACAUUGGGACUGAGACACGGCCCAAACUCCUACGGGAGGCAGCAGUGGGGAAUAUUGGACAAUGGGCGCAAGCCUGAUCCAGCCAUGCCGCGUGAGUGAUGAAGGCCCUAGGGUUGUAAAGCUCUUUUGUGCGGGAAGAUAAUGACGGUACCGCAAGAAUAAGCCCCGGCUAACUUCGUGCCAGCAGCCGCGGUAAUACGAAGGUGGCAAGCGAUACUCGGAAUCACUAGGCGUAAAGGGAGCGUAGGCGGAGCUACAAGUCAGGGGUGAAAUGCCGGAGCUCAACUUCGGAACUGCCUUUGAUACUGGAGAUCUUGAGUUCGGGAGAGGUGAGUGGAACUGCGAGUGUAGAGGUGAAAUUCGUAGAUAUUCGCAAGAACACCAGUGGCGAAGGCGGCUCACUGGCCCGAUACUGACGCUGAGGCGCGAAAGCGUGGGGAGCAAACAGGAUUAGAUACCCUGGUAGUCCACGCCGUAAACGAUGGAUGCUAGCCGUUAGGCAGCUUGCUGCUUAGUGGCGCAGCUAACGCUUUAAGCAUCCCGCCUGGGGAGUACGGUCGCAAGAUUA